rnacentral:rRNA from 1 species
UACGUAGGGGGCGAGCGUUGUCCGGAUUUACUGGGCGUAAAGAGCGUGUAGGCGGCCAAACAGGUCCGUUGUGAAAACUGGAGGCUCAACUUCCAGACGUCGACGGAAACCGUGUGGCUAGAGUCCGGAAGAGGAGAGUGGAAUUCCUGGUGUAGCGGUGAAAUGCGCAGAUAUCAGGAAGAACACCCGUGGCGAAGGCGGCUCUCUGGGACGGUACUGACGCUGAGACGCGAAAGCGUGGGGAGCGAACAGG